rnacentral:lncRNA from 1 species
AAGAUUUUGUAAUAUGCUUUUAGUUUGACAAUCCAAGCAAUCACUAAUUAGUUGGAAAAAAUAAGUCUUAGGACUUAAUUAAUUUUAAGAGUAUCUGCCUGCCAUUGAUUUUGUAUUCCAUUUGUCUACGACUGCUAUCUCUCUCUCUAACUCUCUCAUAAAAUUAGCUUUAUAGCUAGGUGAUGAGUUAACAUGCAUGUAUUGAUUCCAUGGAAAAAGAAGUUUGAUCAUUGGUAAGUAUGGAUAAACCCUAGCCUUUUGCCACUAAAUUCUGCAUUAUUCUUUAGCUAGCGUUCCUACAUAUCUUGGGUUUUCUUUAUUGUUCCUUCAAUACCACUUCACACCCUUCAUAUAUUAGCAAUGGAGUUCAUUAAUUUCAUUGAAAUUCUAUUAGUAUAUGCUCUAUUUUCCCUCCUCAACAUUAAAAAUUGAGUAGCACUAUUUUCAUAUAUAUUUUUGAUAUUUUUACAUGUUCUCUUCUUAUAAAAAAAUAAAACAUCGUGAAAAUAUUAAUAGAAAUGUGAAAAUAUCAAUUUCCUAAAAAUUUCUCAUUCACAUUAAUAUCAUCACACCUUAUUGCUAAUUAAUUUUGAGAUAGAAAACUUGAUGUUAUUAUAUAUUUAUGGGCAGGAUUUACACCUAUGCUGCCUAUGCUAUGCAUGUGGACCCAUCUCCCAAUGACAUUAGAGGAGGCAAACGGGGCGGGNN